CCUACGGGUGACAGCAGUGAGGAAUAUUGGUCAAUGGGCGCGAGCCUGAACCAGCCAAGUAGCGUGAAGGAUGACUGCCCUACGGGUUGUAAACUUCUUUUAUAAGGGAAUAAAGUGAGGCACGUGUGCCUUUUUGUAUGUACUUUAUGAAUAAGGAUCGGCUAACUCCGUGCCAGCAGCCGCCGUAAUACGGGGGAUCCGAGCGUUAUCCGGAUUUAUUGGGGUUAAAGGGAGCGUAGGUGGGUUGUUAAGUCAGUUGUGAAAGUUUGCGGCUCAACCGUAAAAUUGCAAUUGAAACUGGCAGCCUUGAGUACAGUUGAGGAAGGCGGAAUGCGUGGUGUAGCGGUGAAAUGCUUAGAUAUCACGAAGAACCCCGAUUGCGAAGGCAGCCUACUAACCUGCUACUGACACUGAUGCUCGAAAGUGUGGGUAUCAAACAGGAUUAGAUACCCUAGUAGUC
rnacentral:rRNA from 1 species